ACAGGUCUUUCAGGCUGUGAAUUCAAGGGAGUCUGCUCCAGUUCGGGUUUUCUGAGCUUGCCACACAGCAAAUCCCAUAAGAGGUCCCUCUGUAAAUCUGUUUUCUUUUAAGUAGCACCAAUUUCCUGGUGCACAUGCUUUGUAUUUGCCUGGGUGCCUGUGUGAGAGCCAGUAGCUCCCCUGCACACUCUCCACCCCAGAGCUCACUUGAGAAUUGUGUUUUCUUGUUGAAGAUGAAGUAUCAUGUGCAGGCUCUGUGCUCGGAGAGACUCAAUUUUGUACAGAAAAUGAUCUGGGCAUGUGUCUAUAUGGAAAGCCUUGGGAAAAAUCCGUGCAGCAUAAAGAAAAUGCAAUAUUGCCCUCUAGUGAUGAUGAGGACGGUCUCAUUUGAUCCGCUGAUGAAACAAAAAAGUAUGUUUCUGCUAACCUUCACUGGGAUUUGAAAAUAGAGUUUUGUUCCCUCUUUUUUCUGACCCUGGAAUUAAAGAUCUGACCAUCACAACUUGGAGAGAACUGUUUCAAGGACAGGAGGUGAAACCCGGUGGAAACCAAAAUAAAUAAAUAAAUAAAAUAAAGUUGAAUUUCUGUGCUUGAUGAUCCCUAUGUUCAAAUGUUUUCUUUCUUAUUUUCCUUUUUUAAAAAUUUCUCAUUUGAACUGUUCUGGAGGGGGAGGAGGAUGGGCAGGAGCACCUCAGCAGACAAACAUAAAGAGCUCAAAAUAUUUCAUUCGAGUAUGUAGUUGGUUGAACUUGCCAGGAAAUAAACUGUUUUGAAGGGUCUUCAGAAGACACCUAGGAGCACUACAGAGCUUUGACCUUUAGCCCUGAGAAGGUUACAUUUAAGGCCCUCAAUUCUGCAAACAGCUGAACACAGACAAUCCCUUUAAUGCUUGUGUGAAGCCCCAAGAGUUUCAGCAGGUCUCAUAGCUUCACUCCCAGACAGUGGGGUCACGGAGUAAGAUUUCUCUGUAACUGGACUCUGCAUCUCUACCCAGAUUUCUAAGGUAUCUCUUUGUUGUUGUUUUUUUAAGUUCCUAAUACAGACAGCAUUUCCCUGGCACCUUCCCUAUUCUAAUUGGCUCUGACAAUGCACGAUGGUACUGGAAUUUAUGUAAGAAACAUUGCUGCCACUGUACUGAAACUUAAAGAUCACUCUGAAACAGAGUGGGCAGAUAGAUGUUUGUUUUUUCCUCACUUGAAACAAUAACUAAAUGCAAAAUUCACCUUAAUCACUACCUGAAUAGGGUUUCUCUCUUACUACGGGAAUCCUAAAAACAUAUAACAUACUCAUAUGUAAUGGCUUGUUAUUAAAUUUGAUGAUAUAUCCUGCACUUUUUUUUAUCCUGGGAUUUUUACCCCAAAAGAUCACAAAGCAGAAUUAAGGGCUGGAGUCUAUUCAAGCUGGUGGCAAAACUCAGAGUUCACUGCCAAAGGAUCUUUCAUACAUACAAUAAACUUUCAAUGUAAUUGCAAAUAUUUGGGGUGAUCAGUCAAUGCAAUAGAGUGUGUUUUAUGGACACAGAGGGUUUGGAUUGGGCAGCUUUUUACUGAGUUCUGAGAAUUUAUCUCACUCCACUAAAAGAGUAGAUUAUUGUCAUCCCCAGCACCACUACCCAUGGUACUGUUAAAUUGUGCGAGGUCCUUAACUACUGCUGGUUAAUUACUCUGUAAUUAUAGAUGUUGCAUGCUACCCACGAAAAAUAUAUAAAAAGGCAUUAAAAAUGUGCUGUAUGAAGAGCUGAAGUCAACAAAGAGGAAACACAGAAGUGCAUUUCUGGCAGUGAACAUUUUAUGCAUGGCAGAUCGACAGCA